ACUUGACUCACAACCCAACGAGCACUCUGUUCAGCAGACAACAUCUAUGUGCUGUUUAGCGGUGCUACGCGCGGCAAGAGGGCGGGGAGGGUCGCGCUGUUCCCGCGGAGCGACUGUCGUCAGCGGAUGCAGCCUUGGACGGACUCCUUCCUGCCCCUCUGCCCGCUCUGCUGGGGAGCAGCCAUUACUCCUGUCAGCACUCUGCCCCUGCGCUGAGAUUAAAGUGCGCUCCUACCGCUUCCCCAUCCCCGAUGCUGCUCCACGCCGGGUAAAAAGCCAUUCCAUAAAGCGGGCAAACCCCUCUGCCAAGUGACAGGCUCUGUAAUCUUUCACAUCCUUCAGCGUUGUGCAGCAUUAAUUUGCUAUGUUUUUAUGCUAUUAAAGUCCACACAGUCUUUAUGCGCGAUGACUGUAAUUUUUGAAAGGUUUCUGAUGACCUGUAAGCUUUACAAUGGCUGACAUGAGUGUAUUUGAGCAUUGCGGUUUGAAGCAAGAAAAUAUUCUUAUGCAGUUUGACGCUGUUCUGUCAUUAUGUUUCUAGAGUUUGUACACAUGAACAGAUUCACUUUAAUUUCAUAAACAUUCGUUUUUAUUUUGUGCAGUUACUUUUUUCUUUCUCAAUUCUGAAGCAAGCUGUUCUCUGCCAAGGACUAAUGUAGUCAUAUACUAUAAAGCUGAGCCCAAAUCCUAGCAUUGUAAAGCCAGCCAUAAGAAACUUUUGUAAAUAUCUAAAAUAUUUUCAUUGCACACACAAGCGGUCUGAGACUAUUGGAAAUGCACAAAAAACUGAAAUAAUAUCACAAAACCCAUGUGGCUCUGCAAGAACAUUAAACACUGAAAAGGUGUCAUGAAUAUGGCAUGCCUUCACGUUUCUGUCUCUUUUAAAAAUUUAAUGAAUAAAUCAAUGCCUGAUUAAAAUUUAACAGGCAUUGAUCUGACCUCAUGUUGCAUAAUAAGGAAUAUUGAUUUCUGUUCAGGAUAUCACUUGUUCAGAUUCCAAUGGGAUCAAUUAAGCUUUGCUGCAUUGGUACUGAAGUGCAAUGAAUUUUGCUGACUCGGAAUGGGAGUGCUUUUUCACUGUGAAUACAGGCUGAAUCGCUGCCGUAUCUGGCCAUCUGUGAGUGCAACCCUUCCAGGAAGUGGAAGGGCUGGGUGUUAGAUUGUACUUCCUGCAAAAAAAGAACAUGGGAGUAGAUUUCUGUUUCAUUAGAUUAUUAUUUUUUUGCCUGCAAUCAUAUAACCAUAUCUUACUUUCACUUUCACCAGUGGGUGAAAUGUUCACAAGAGCAUAAACAUUUGAUCGACUUUCACAGCUCUUUUGUCCAUGGCCAUUCUGUCAUUGAUCGUGAUGACCCCUUUUCUCCUUCUGUCUUGUUUUUCAGGGGCAUUUUAUAUUUAUCCAAAAUGUAGUCAUGGUUAAAUGGUAUUGCAUAAAAUGCAUUCUAAUCAGAGUGAGUAAUUGAAAUCUCUAAGCAAUACCUAUACACACAAUUUACAUCCUAAAUGCUCAACAGUUUUUGAUUACAUCAGGCAUUUGAAUAUUAUGUAAUUCCCAUUGUUAUGUCUCCUGCCUCUGCUGGUCUGGGUAUUGCAGGUGGAGGUAGUUGCCUAAUUGCUUGAUUGCCUCCACCUAACUGUGAGCCAACAUAAGCCCAGCAGUAUGAGGCAGGGGAGAUCUUCUUUGGGGUUUCUUUUGUGUGGUUUGUGUUUGGUAGGUUUUUGUGAAGAUCCUUUUAGAUCGUUUUGUGAACUUUGUGGGUUUGCUUUUGUUUUAGUUUGUUAUUUACACAAAUAAAUGUCUGGGUUUUGCUCUUA